rnacentral:rRNA from 1 species
UGGUGGCGAGUGGCGAACGGGUGAGUAAUAUAUCGGAACGUACCCUAGAGUGGGGGAUAACGUAGCGAAAGUUACGCUAAUACCGCAUACGAUCUAAGGAUGAAAGUGGGGGAUCGCAAGACCUCAUGCUCGUGGAGCGGCCGAUAUCUGAUUAGCUAGUUGGUAGGGUAAAAGCCUACCAAGGCAUCGAUCAGUAGCUGGUCUGAGAGGACGACCAGCCACACUGGAACUGAGACACGGUCCAGACUCCUACGGGAGGCAGCAGUGGGGAAUUUUGGACAAUGGGCGAAAGCCUGAUCCAGCAAUGCCGCGUGAGUGAAGAAGGCCUUCGGGUUGUAAAGCUCUUUUGUCAGGGAAGAAACGGUGAAAGCUAAUAUCUCUUGCUAAUGACGGUACCUGAAGAAUAAGCACCGGCUAACUACGUGCCAGCAGCCGCGGUAAUACGUAGGGUGCAAGCGUUAAUCGGAAUUACUGGGCGUAAAGCGUGCGCAGGCGGUUUUGUAAGUCUGAUGUGAAAUCCCCGGGCUCAACCUGGGAAUUGCAUUGGAGACUGCAAGGCUAGAAUCUGGCAGAGGGGGGUAGAAUUCCACGUGUAGCAGUGAAAUGCGUAGAUAUGUGGAGGAACACCGAUGGCGAAGGCAGCCCCCUGGGUCAAGAUUGACGCUCAUGCACGAAAGCGUGGGGAGCAAACAGGAUUAGAUACCCUGGUAGUCCACGCCCUAAACGAUGUCUACUAGUUGUCGGGUCUUAAUUGACUUGGUAACGCAGCUAACGCGUGAAGUAGACCGCCUGGGGAGUACGGUCGCAAGAUUAAAACUCAAAGGAAUUGACGGGGACCCGCACAAGCGGUGGAUGAUGUGGAUUAAUUCGAUGCAACGCGAAAAACCUUACCUACCCUUGACAUGGCUGGAAUCCUUGAGAGAUCAGGGAGUGCUCGAAAGAGAACCAGUACACAGGUGCUGCAUGGCUGUCGUCAGCUCGUGUCGUGAGAUGUUGGGUUAAGUCCCGCAACGAGCGCAACCCUUGUCAUUAGUUGCUACGAAAGGGCACUCUAAUGAGACUGCCGGUGACAAACCGGAGGAAGGUGGGGAUGACGUCAAGUCCUCAUGGCCCUUAUGGGUAGGGCUUCACACGUCAUACAAUGGUACAUACAGAGCGCCGCCAACCCGCGAGGGGGAGCUAAUCGCAGAAAGUGUAUCGUAGUCCGGAUUGUAGUCUGCAACUCGACUGCAUGAAGUUGGAAUCGCUAGUAAUCGCGGAUCAGCAUGUCGCGGUGAAUACGUUCCCGGGUCUUGUACACACCGCCCGU